UACGAGGGGGGCGAGCGUUGUUCGGAAUUAUUGGGCGUAAAGGGUGCGUAGGCGGUUUGGUAAGUCUCGUGUGAAAUCUACAGGCUCAACUUGUAGUCUGCACGAGAAACUGCCGGGCUUGAGUAUGGGAGAGGUGAGUGGAAUUCCUGGUGUAGCGGUGAAAUGCGUAGAUAUCGUUUGGAACGCCAAUGGUGAAAACAACUUGCUGGGGGGUGUGCUGACGCUGAGACACGAAAGCCAGGGGAGCAAACGGG
rnacentral:rRNA from 1 species